UACGUAGGGUGCGAGCGUUAAUCGGAAUUACUGGGCGUAAAGCGUGCGCAGGCGGUUUUGUAAGCCAGAUGUGAAAUCCCCGGGCUUAACCUGGGAAUGGCAUUUGGGACUGCAAGGCUGGAGUUUGGCAGAGGAGACUGGAAUUCCUGGUGUAGCAGUGAAAUGCGUAGAUAUCAGGAGGAACACCGGUGGCGAAGGCGGCAUCCUGGACCGGCAUUGACGCUGAGGCGCGAAAGCUAGGGGAGCAAACGGG
rnacentral:rRNA from 1 species